CCCAAACAGGACUUGUGGAAGGAGUAAUUUUUCUCUUGAGAUAGUCAUACAAUAAUCAACAGUUAGGGACUUUGGGGGGAAUUUGUUUCUACAUCUAUGACUAGUACAUUUUGUGUUCUGUAGUAGUAGUAAUAAUAAUAAUUAUAAUGUGGGAGAUACAUAAAACAAGAAAGUAUUCAGGUAUAGAAAUUUUCUUGUUAGAUAAUCCCUUUAGGGGAGAGCAGGAUCUUUCAGCCAAAGAACUUCCAGUCUGACAAAACAAACACCACUGUAGACUGGGAGCAAGUGUGGAACCCCAUUGGAGAAAAAGAAGUUGGUAGGUAAUUGGAAUGUAAAAUGUUUCUUCAAUGAAGAGGGCCGGCCAGCUCAAGUGCAAAACAUUAAAGUGUAUUGUUAUGUUGAUAGCUAUAUGGUAUCUUCUCUUUCAAAUCUAAAAGUGUAAACAGAGCAGUGAGGGAGUAAAAUCAGAAGCAAAGUAAUGUUUUGGUUGUGCAGAUGCCUUAGGAAAAAGCCUUUUUAUAUGCUUGAGACUUCUUUGAGCUAGCUUUUGUGUUAGAAUGGAGGACUUUGUAGUAUGAGAACAGUCAAAAGAAAACAUCACAAAACAGGGAGUGCAAAAUCACUGUCACUAUGAAGAUACUGUAUAUGGUGUUAUUGCAGAGAAAGCCCUUUUUUAGCUGUCAGCAGUUGUUUUUAAAUGCAACUAACUGAGGCUGAAUGUCAUUCACCAAGCACAGUGCUUAAUGAAAUUGUUGCCAAAGAUUAUACAACAGGAUUAAGUAGGAUUUGCAGAGAGAAGGCUAUCAACAGAUGAAUUUUACCAAACUAUUAGAAUUAUUGUAUAGAUUUUUCACAAGCUAUCUGUGGCCUUGGUAGUCCAACAUUAAGAUAACCAACAUUAAGAUAACUAAUGGCAUUAAUAAACUACGUUGUAAGUUUUAAGAAAUGACCCAAUUCCUUUAAAUACAAAAACAAAUAAUUCAAAAUGAGACUUCCUGGAGGAGUUUUUGAGUGACUGACUGAAUUAAAACAAACAAAUAAAAACACAACUCUCUCUGGGGCAUGCUCCUGUUUGGAAGUUGUAAUGUCAACCUCAUAUUUCUUUUCAAGUGUUCAAGUUAAUGCAUUCUUAAUGUUGAAAACUGGCAAUUUCAUGUGUUAAUUUGGCUACAUUUGGUUGUAGCUGUAGUGAGUGAAUAUCGUGUUUUCUGAAUGUGUGGUAGAAGUAACCAGAAGGAUGUCUUAGCUUGUGUAUGUGUGUGUUUCCUCUAGACAAAGCUGCAUAUAAAAGCAGCAUGGUUGUGUCUUUGGCUAUGAGACAGAUCAUCUCACUAAAUUUCAUUCGUCAGUGCAGAUUUUCAGUUCGGGGGUUUUUUCAGAACUAUUUUUGUAGAUGUUGAUUAUUCCAUAGUCUGAAGUAUGGCUGGUUUGCCCUUGAAAAGGAAAGGGGAAAGUAAAUAUUUCAGGUAGGGAAGAAAAACAUUAGUAGUUGAAAAAGAGGUCCUUUGCCCCAUUUCUAUAGAAUUUGUUACAAUAAAAUUGCAUGUAGUGGUGCGUUUUGACCUUAUAUUAUUACUUCAGACCUGCUUGAUGAACCUAACUUAUUUGGGAAAUAACUUUUUGAAAUCUAGUCAAAGAUUGUAUUUAAAUCAGAAUAUUGAAUUUUGAGGUUUGGGGUAAAUUUUUUUGUUUUUUUCAUUUUAGAUUCUGGGCUGCAGUUUGUCUACUUCAGGAGAAUCAGGUGCUUGUUUUCUGUUAGGCUUGUUAGCAUUCCUACUUCAAACUCCUGACUAAUUAGCCUGGUUGCCAAAGCUCCUGCAUGCAGAGUAUCAGAUAGCACCAGUGUUUUUCUCCUUCAGCCAGUGUAGCUGGAUGCCUUAACCCUGUAUAGUGCUGAUUCCAGUUCAUCCACAGGACUGAGAACCAAGGGUAACACAAUCAAGUUUAUCAUUACAGAGCAAAAGUUGACUCAGACUUUACUGGUUGUGUCAGCAUAAAUACAUGGCAUGACCCUUGUUGCAUUAUGUAAAAAUGACUGUUUUUUGGUUUCCUUUGAUACCCUCAUCAUACUAAAGCCUGAUACUAAAAUAGUAAAAAUACAGUGCUAAUUACAAGAAAUUAAUCCAGACAGUUGUUCAUUUAAAGGAUUGUUGGUGUCACCUUUUUUUUGUCAUGUAGUGAGAGUUUAUUUCUUUUAUUUCCAAUAUAAAGGUUAUACUGAAAGCGAAUAAAUAUGAAUGUUUUGUCAAGUGAAUGUCAAGUGGUUGAAAUGAGUGUGGUUUCUGAGCUGCUCUAUGUAUUUGCUGGUGACAGCUUAUCAAUGGGUACCAGUUUGUCAAAUUUGGGUUUUAAUUUGUCUGUUGGCUCUUUGAUUGAAUCUUCAGCCUGUGUCAGGAAUGUGAAGUUGCCACUGUCAGUGGUCACAAAGAGACAAGAUAUUUGAUUUAAUUUGUACUAAGUAAUGUAUGUACUUCUAGAGACAUUAGAGAAUCCAAGGAGGGAUGUUAAGAAUAAUUUUAUUUGUGCCAUCUAUAAUAAAACCGUGAUCAGCUUUGGGAAGAGAGCCACAAGAAACCAGGCUUCAUGAAUUUGAUUGCUAGUGGAAAUGCUUUUUUCAGUAAUGCAGCUUUCUGCUGUCGGUAGAUUUGACAUUUCUGUUAGAGAUACUUAUUUUUGAGUGAAAACUCAGUAUCUUUUCAGCUUUUAGUAGUUUCACAGAUGAAUUUGCAAACUACUUGUAUUGUCAUUUUUUAUGGAUUUAAGACCGUUUCUAAGACAUUUCUCUAUCAGAGUUUUAUUAUAGAGGAAAAAACUGUAAUCUUUUUAAGUUGUAGAGAAAUUGUCAUGUAACUCUGGAAUCUAACAAUUUGUAUGCCAGUUAUGGAAAUAGCCUUAAGAUUACAGUCUUCUAAAUUUUAUUUUGUGACUGUAGAAAAUUAAUUUAUCUAAAUGCCAUGUGUUUGUGGACUUAGUCUUUAAAAUAUUUGAGAGAUUUGCCAUUUCUGUAACAAACUACAGUUUCCACUUAGCUCAUCAGGACUGCCAGUCUGCUAGGCUGCUGCAUUUCUGCUGCCUUCUUUGGUCUGGUGCUUAUCUGACCUGUGUCAAGACUUCACAGCCAAGCCAGCAUAGCCUGAGACAAAAAACAGUGAGUGCCUGCUGGCUUAUGAUGCUGGGGUCAGGUAUGUGCUGAUGUUGGUGCAGAAGUGGGAAUGAAGUGCCCAGCUUGGCCAGAGGUUGUUGUUUCAUAGUUCCUUAAGUUAAUACAAGGUGCCAGCAGAAGGAUGGUUUCUCCCAACUGCUAGCACUAACAAUUUCCUCCACACUGAAAUAAGGGAAGGGAAAUAUCUUCUGAGUUAACCUGAUUCAUGUUGCUGUACAGCUGCAGGAUGCUGGUGCCUGGCAUAAGAGAGGAGUUGGGAAUGAGUGUGUCAAUAUGAGGAAGUGCUCUCUGCAGCACUGUAGUUUCUGUUGAUGACUGUGUGUCUGCACUUUUAAUGUUCAAGUGAGUAAGGGCAGUCUUUUUUGUGGCCUGAUUGAUGCCUGAAGAUAGUUUAAAUACAGGGAUUGCAGCUCUGCAAGUAGCAAUGACUGUAAGUUCAGUGCCUGAACUUUCAUUCUCCCCCUUCAAUUUUCCUGUUGCUUCUUGGUUUGAGGUGGAUGUAAUAACCUGUUUCUUUUCCUCUAAAUGGGACUGUUCAAAAGGAACAGUCUUUAACACAGUAAAUAAUAUGGAGAACUCUGAUUAAUUUCCAUGGGUUUUUAAGAUGCAGCUGAAAAAUGUUACAGGGGACUGUGUGUACUUUUAAUUCUUCUCCUCUAAGUUUUUUGGUGCUGCUCCUUAGCAAUUGUCUCAGUUGCACAACAGUGACAGGUUGUAGAUAAAUAGUAGAAAGGUAAGCAAUAUUUUAUGGAGGCCCAUUGCUAUUUGUUAUUUUUCCACUUUUAAGUAUGUCAUGAUUAAUUCAAAGGAAGCUUUGUUUGGUUUUGACUCACAUUUUACCUGGUUUUCAGGUAUGAUUGAACUCUGCCUGUACCUCUCUCCUGUUGUUGUAGACCUUCAGGGUAUUUUGAUACACCAGAUUUAUAUCAAUCACUUUUCUGCUUCUUUACUGUCCUAUCACCGACUUCAAUCAAUUUUCCUAAUCAUAGUAAUAACAACAACUUUCUUAAGCUUUUGUUUGGUAUAUUUUUUUUUCAGAGUAUGUGUGGAUAGUUGCUGCAAGAUCGUCAGUAUAAGGGUAUUGGGAGAGUAUAUGAUAUCAGCAUCAAUAUAGUUUAUAAAGGGUGAUAUGUUUUAACUUGGGGAUAUGAUUUAAUCUUUUGUAGCUUUAUUUUUAUUUUGAAUUUAAUUAGUCUAAUGAAUGAUUAAAUAAUUACUAAACUGUUGGUAGUGCUUAUUGUUGAAAACAUUUUUUUAUUUGAUUUCUCCAGUUAACUGCAGGUUUCAUUUUGCACAAAGAACAGAUCUGCGUGUUCUCUGGUUGAUUGUGUAAAUGCUGUCCAUUGCAGCUUAACAAAGCACACCCUGCAGGGGGCAGGCAGCUGCUGUGUUGCAAGUGCAAGUGCAAACCACAUACUGUAGGUUUGAAAAUUAAGAAUUGGAAGGUAAUGUUUGUCAUGCUUUUGAGGAGUGCCCUUGGCAAAUUUUUUUUUCAUUUUUAAUAGUAGCUGCUUUUCGACUCAUAAAUCUUAGGUGAAGACAUUUCAUGUUGCUUGUGUAAUAAUAUAUUUUGUAAAAGAUUAUGAAAACUUUGGUGUAUUCAGAAUGAAGUGAGGUUGAUGGCUGUGCACAGAAUAUGGUGGCUCUGGUAAAACACUACUCUGAAAAGAACUUGUUUUGUUUUCUUUUGAAGUCAGUAGGAAGCACCCUGCUUCAUCUGCCUGGUGUAGAUAGGUUUAUUUUGAAACUUAAUUUUUUGAUCUGUGAGGUGUAAGUUAGUAGGAAAGUAUUGAAGAUUACAGUAAUUUUUUUUCAUCCCAAGAAUUUUUGUGUUAAUUAGUCUUGUUGUUGGGGACAGAUAGGCAACAUGAAACAGGGACAAUGCAUAUAAAGUAUACAGUAAAAUAUUUACAUCUGUGAUUAUUCACAUGGGCAUUUAAGCUGCAUUUAUGAAAGUUAAUCCUUUUUUUAGUGGAUGUGUUAGUUAUAGAUUGAAUUUUGGCCUUAGUUUAAGAUUUUGUGUACCAUUUGUCAUAUACUGUAGUGGAUUUUGCCUUGACUUCAUUGCAUUACACUUAUAUUGUGGAAAUGUUUAUAGUACCUCUUGCCUUUUGGUCUUGGGGUUUUGUUUCAUACUGUAGUGGAGCUAGUUCCUAAGAUGCCAUUUUCCUCAGGAAAAUAAAGAGGAGGUUUCACUUAGUUAUGAUCUUGAUGUUGUGCAUUAUUGGUAAUUCUCUCUGAUAGAAAGGUCAGCUGUUGGUCCUGCUUCUGUGAAUAUUGCAGUGUUAAAACUUAGGGAAGAAUGAGUCAUUCUGUAGUGGAAAGUCUUUGUUGAUCCAGGUGUCAAAGGUUUGGAAGAGGAAGUAAAGCUGUUGAAAAUUAGUUUUUUAUAGGAGCUGGUUUUUCAUCUGUAUUGUUCUUCCUUUCUUCUGUUAGAUUAAAGGUAGUCUUUUAUAAUGAAGCUGCACUUUCUGAAGUUAACUCAAAAACUAGCUUAACAAGAACACUUUCUUUGCUACAUGGAAAAUAGUUUAUAACAGUUACCAGGAUUUAAAAAAAACCCUAACUGUUUGGAAUGCCUUUUUAAUAGUAUUCUGUCCUCAAGUUUCAAGUUGAGCAGUCAUUAUGGGAAUUGAGUGCUAGAACGGGGAAUGAGUGCUAGAAACUUCACCCUCAUGUAAUUUCACAGUGCUUAUUCCCUUACUGAUUUAAGUGGGUUUUAAAAUACUGUAGGAAAUAUGUUUUUAAAAAUAUUCUUGUAUUCAUUAGAAUUCCACAGGUUUGUUCUAUGUGUGGCUUUUGGAGAGGCAAAGGAAGCAAUUCCAAUUUACUGUGUAGACUGACAACAGGUCAGAUACAAAGACGUUACAUGAAUGUUUCAGAAUAUCCUGCAGUGAUAAUACUGUUGCUGUGCUGACCUGUAAAUCAAUAUUGUGACCCGAAUUCAUUUGAAAGCAACUUGUAUGUGCUUUAAAACUAAUUUUUGCGCUGUGGAUUUGUUUUAUUGUUAUUUAUAUUCUAUUAGCAAAACUCCUGAGCAACGAGACAUGUACCUGAAUAGUAAUUGCAACUUAGUUCUCUGUAGAUUCUUGCCUGCAGAAUUUGAAUGGAGCACGAAGAAAGAUGUGGCGUUCUUAGUGCUGGAUUUUGGUAUUUUCUAGAUGCAGUCAUGCAGAAUGUGCUUGCAAGGCAAACAAUGUUAUCAAUGCAGCUGAAAGAGAUCAAAGCCUCUUGGAGGGGGGGUGCAUAUGAACAUUUCUGAAGGGAAACUGGUAUAUUCUUUCCUGCUCCAGAGAUGGAAUAGUUUACAGAAUGGGUAGUGUGUAAUACUCUUAAAUAUUGAAGUAUGUAGUGCUUCAUGAUGAGUACAGGUGGGAUAGGAGUUUAAAGGCCUAUGGUUAUUCCUUGCUGGCUUGUGGGAAUAGUAGUUUUGAUUUCAUUCAUUGCUGUGCCCUACAUAUUGUGAUAAAUAUUCUCUCACUAUCUCUGAUACUUUAAAGGAGGGGUUUCCUUUCUCAUAUGUGAGCAUGGCUGUAGAUUAUCGCUCCUGCAUAUUAUUGCUUUGUUUGCAGAAGCUUCUCAGAUUCUUCAGGAAGUCCAGGUUUCCCUGCUGCAAAUCCCAUUGUUUCACAUUGCAGUCUUUUUCCGAGCUUCAUGUACAGUGCAGUCUUUUUAUCUCUUUCUAUUUGUUUUCAUAUUCCUUCUUAACUAUUAUAUUCUUGUGUAAAAAGAAUGAGAUGAUUGGCAGAAAGAGAGGUUUGGAGACAAUUUUUUUUUGUGAGGAUUUUCUUUGUUUUGGUUUGCCGAAGUAUUAAACACCUUUGCCUUCUAUAAUUAUUAAUACUUUUCAUAUGUGUAUGUGGCCACUCUUCAUAAUUGGAGAGGGGAGCUUGAGGUGCUCUUCCCUUCAUAUUUUACUUACUUGCAUUUCUCUGUAGCAUAGCUUCAAAUGAGUGAUUUUGAUUAUUACUGAUUAUUGCUUUAAAACAAAAAUCCACCCUUAACAGUAAGUAACUGGGAACUAGAUUUAAAGAUUGAACUGUUUUGAGAAACAGUCACUCGUCUGAAGCCUCAUGGAAAACAUUGAUGAUAAUUGAUGUGAUAACUUGUACCUCACGUCUUCAGGUUUAAGUGUGACUUGGAUGUUUUGUGUGACUGACUUCAUUAGGUAUCAAAAUUUUUUUGCUUCCUACUUUUUGUAGUGCUCUUUUUCAGUUGAUGAUGGUCUGAGGUCCUUGAGGAGAAUGUCAGAGGGGAGUGGUAGCACUGAGAAUGCAGAUGUUUUCUAAGAAUGUUUAAUCAAAGCUUUUCACAAGAUUUCGUAGAAUUUUGAAGUAAUUUCACU